AGACAUUUUACCCAUCUCAUCACUGACAGAUGUAAGACUGAGCAAGACAGAGGCAAACCUUCCUUAGGAUUUCGAUGUGGAAAAAACCAUAUGACAAGCAGGAAUUGGCCUGGAUCUGGAAAAGAAGGAGUGGAUGCUACCAGGCAUCAACCGCUUUGCCUUGAUAGGAACCUGAAACAGAUGGGAUUUUGGCAAGAGUACAGUUUUCUUGAAGACCUAGAGAAAACUGUAAAAUCAAAAAGAUUCUUCAUGAUGUCAUCAGAACAACUUUUGUAAAUGACAGGGAGCUUGGAAGGGGAAGUAGAAGUUACCUGGGAUCUUAUGAACAGGUGCAUGGGCCUGGCUUGAUCCAUCAGACAAGCGGUUUAUCCUACCAAAUGUGGUCUUGGCAUAGAUGGAGAAAUAAUGUUAUUUGAAAUA